ACAUUAAGUCAUUUUGCCCAAGCAGCAGCCCAAGCAAGUCUUGCCUUGGGCCUUGACCGGGCUGGUGGAGCCCAGUGCUUGCCUUGGCAAGCCUUGGCCCCUAAAAACGGAAUUGGGGGCCUAGGGGACCUCUUGCCCGGGCUAGCCCCUCCUGUUGGAGUUGCUCUUAUUGGAGGCAUUGGCUUAAUUUCCUCAACUUUCCACAAACUGAUGUGUGAUCGAUCCUUAUUAAUUAGGGAAUAUGUGCAGAUAUAGACUACCGGGAGGACACGGGUUUGCCACAGAGAGAGAGAGAGAGAGAGAGAGAGUUGGGUAUAUUUUGUAUAUUCUAAGUCUAGUUUGUAAAGCCUCAAUGGCUGGACCUUUUUGCU